rnacentral:rRNA from 1 species
UACGGAGGGUGCAAGCGUUAUCCGGAUUCACUGGGUUUAAAGGGUGUGUAGGCGGGUAUUUAAGUCAGUGGUGAAAUCUCCAGGCUCAACCUGGAAACUGCCAUUGAUACUAUUUAUCUUGAAUUCUGUUGAGGUGGGCGGAAUAUAUCAUGUAGCGGUGAAAUGACUUAGAGAUGAUAUAGAACACCGAUGCGAAGGCAGCUCGCUAAACAGAUAUUGACGCUGAGGCACGAAAGCGUGGGGAUCAAACAGG